AUGCCCAUCUUUCCUGAAGAUUACAAGAUUGGAUGGGGCCGCUUGGCAUGUCGGUGGACUGCAGAGGGUUACUCGAGGGAGUUGCGCGGCAGGUCUGCAGAUGAAAUAGCAGACAUCUACUGCAGGGAACUUAUAAGCAUGAGUAUGAUCCUACCAUCUCAACAAUCAAUUCAAAGUAUAAAAGGAAUUGAUUCCUGCCAAGUCCACAAUCUUAUCCAUGAAAUUUGUGUCUCAAAGUUAAUGCAAGAAAAUCUUGUUUUUACACUCGAGGAUUGCAGCUCAAAUAGUCAGGCCACGGUGCGCCACCUGGCUAUAAGCAGUAUCUGGGAAGGAAAUAAUACUGAGUUUGAGAGUAUAGUGGACAUGUCCCGUCUCCGUUCAAUAACAUGUUUUGAAAAGUGGAAGUCCAUUUUCAUUUCUGAAAAGAUGAGAUUGCUACGAGUGCUAGACUUGGAGGACGCAACAGGUCUACAUGGUCAUCACCUUAAGCAUAUUGGGAAAUUUAUUCACCUAAGAUACCUUUCUCUAAGAGAAUGUGCUCAUAUUGUACACCUUCCAAAUUCAUUGGGUAACCUGAGAUAG
rnacentral:rRNA from 1 species